rfam:Parcubacteria bacterium GW2011_GWF2_38_76 TT05_C0017, whole genome shotgun sequence.
CCUAAUAGGAAAUUUAAGAGCGUAUGGUGGAUGCCUUGACUCUGUAGAGACGAUGAAGGACGUAGCAUGGCUGCGAUAAGCUUCGGGGAGGUGCCUAGCAACCUUUGAUCCGGAGAUGUCCGAAUGGGGAAACCCCUUCCGAUUCAUAUCGGAAGAUUCUACACUUGUUGUAGAAAGUGAACUUGGGGAAGUAAAACAUUUCAGUACCCAAAGGAAAAGAAACCAAAUAAAGAGCGUGGAAUUAUGGAAUGUAGCUUCGGUUACAUUCUAUAUUCUACGUUCUGGAAUUCCCUUAGUAGUGGCGAGCGAAACGGGAAUAGCCCAAACCUAGUGUUCUGUUAAAGGAAUGCAUAGGGGUUGUAAGGUAAUGGUGUUAACAGAAGUUAUAAAUUUCUUUGUUAAACGAAUUUGCUGGAAAGCAAAAUCAUAGAAGGUAAUAAUCCUGUAGUUGAAAAUAAAGAAACUUUUUAAUCAUUAUUCUUGAGUACCUCGAGACAUGAGUAGCUCGGGGGAAUCUGGCGGAACUAACCGCUAAGGCUAAAUACUCUCAGAGAUCGAUAGUGAACUAGUACCGCGAGGGAAAGGUGAAAAGCAGCCCGAUGAGGGCGUUGAAAUAGACCUGAAACCAUACGUUUACAAGGAGUCGAAGUCCGGGGUCGCAAGACCUUCGUGGACGACGGCGUGCCUAUUGAAGAAUGAGCCAACGAGUUUACGUGUACUGCUUAGCUAAGCCCUUAUGGGGCAGAGCUUUAGGGAAACCGAGUGUUAAUAGCGCGAAUCUGUAGUACCCGUAAGACACGAAGCCAAGUGAGCUUGUCAUGAGCAGGGUGAACUUCGGAGAAAUCCGAAGGGAGGCCCGAACCUACUAGCCGUGCAAUACUUUAGGAUGACUUGUGAUAAGAAGUGAAAAGCUAAUCGAACUUGGUGAUAGCUUGUUCUCUCCGAAAUAGCUUUUGGGCUAGCGUUUGACUUACCCUCUGGGGGUAGAGCACUGGAUGGUCUCGACAGGGAGCAAUCUCGCGAGACCAAUCAAACUCCGAAUACCAGAGGUCAACUGUCAGGCAGUUAGGCAGUGGGGGCUAAGCUUCAUUGCCGAAAGGAGAAGAGUCCGGAUCUCAAUCUAAGGUCCCAAAAUCUACAUUAAGUGCAACUUAAGGAGGUGAAAUUUCUCAAACAAUGAGGAGGUUGGCUUAGAAGCAGCCAUCCUUUAAAGAAAGCGUAAUAGCUCACUCAUCGAGAGAUCUCGCGCCGCAAAUAAUCGGGGCUAAAUGUAGUACCGAAGGUGAGGGUGUUGUUGUGAUUCGUCACAAUGACGCGGUAGGAGAGUUUUCUUGUCUGCUGUGAAGGAAGACCCGUGAGGGCUUCUGGAGCGUCAAGAAGUAAGAAUGUUGGCACAAGUAACCACAAUGCGGGUGAGAUCCCCGCACGCCGAAAAACCAAGGUUUCCUUGGCAACGUUGAUCAGCCAAGGGUUAGUCGGUCCUAAGGAAAUGACGAAAGUCGGAUCCGAUGGGCACAGGGUUAAUAUUCCCUGACUUCUAUAUAUUUCGAUGGGAUGACGGAGUUUAGUAUGUCUAGCGCAUUAAUGGUUUUGCGUUUGCGUCAUAAGAAAGGUUCUCAGGAAAAUCCGGGGCCUACCUUUAAUGGUGAUUUCGAGUGGCGUGAAAAUCUUGAGAUUCGUCAAGAGAAAUUAGGCAAAGCAAGCUUCCAAGAAAAGUCUCUAAGGUUAAAUAUAUGGAAACCGUACCGCAAACCGACACAGGUGGUUAGGUCGAGUAGACCAAGGCGAACGAGUGAUAGAUUCUCAAGGAACUCGGCAAAAAAGCGUCCGUAAGUUAGCAAUAUGGACUCCCCAAUAUUUAUUUAUUGGGGCGCAGCGAAAGUCUCUCUGGCGACUGUUUAUCAAAAACACAGCUCCCUGCGAACUCGUAAGAGGAUGUAUAGGGGGUGACACUUGACCAAUGCUGGAAGGUCAAACAACGACCGUGUUUAUCGCAAGAUAACUGCUGAUUGUUGUAAGCCCCAGUGAAUGUCGGCCGUAACUAUAACGGUCCUAAGGUAGCGAAAUUCCUUGUCAGGUAAGUUCUGACGCGCACGAAUAGUGUAACGACUGGAGAACUGUCUCGAGAAUCUGCUCGGUGAAAAUACAAUACCGGUGAAGAUGCCGGUUACCUGCAGCUAGACGAAAAGACCCCAGAAGCUUUACUGCAACUUGGUAUUGAGUAUAUUUUGAGUCUGCGUAGCAUAGGUGGGAGGAUUUGAAGUCGGGAUUUCGGUUUCGAUGGAUCCGUCAGUGAAAUACCACUCUUUUUUGAGAUAUAUUCUAACUCGUACGGAAAAAACGUAUGGAGACAGUACCUGGUGGGUAGUUUUAGUGGGGCGCUAUCCUCCUAAAAAGUAACGGAGGAGUUUAUUAAGGUUGGCUAAGCGCGAAUGGAAACCGUGCUGAUAGUGUAAUGGCAUAAGCCAGCUUAACUGCAAGACGUACUUGUCAAGCAGAUGCGAAAGCAGAACAUAGUGAACCGACGGCCCGCUUUAGAGGCGGCCGGAGAUUAUCGGAUAAAAGCUACUCUGGGGAUAACAGGCUAGUACCACCCGAGCGUCCAUAGCGACGGUGGUGUUCGGCACCUCGAUGUCGGCUCAUCUUAUCCCGGGGCUGUAGAAGGUCCCAAGGGUUUGGCUGUUCGCCAAUUAAAAAGAUACGCGAGCUGGGUUCAGACCGUAAAGUAGUGAAAAGUAAAAAGUUAUAAUGUUAAAAAGUUAUAGAGUUUGCCUUUGGCAAACACAAACAACUUUAUGGACUUUAUAAACUUGAUAACUUUUAACUCUUUUACAGUCUGAACCUAAGAGGAAUUGUUUGAAAGAAGGAGAAAUAAUCAAUAAAAUAACCAAAUGUAUCACGGCGGUCAUAUGGAGUAAUUCAUAUGUACGAAGUUGACUUAUAUCGGUGGAAUCCUGAAAAACAGGACAAUACCGAGGGAAAUUUUAGUUGAAUGUUAAAAGUUAUAAUGUUUGAAAGUUUUUGAUUCGCCUUUGGCGAAUUCGACAACUUUAUGAACUUUAUAAACUUGAUAACUUUAAAACUAUUUUGCCCGUAGAGACUAAACGUCAACCAUCUUUAAGUUUUAGAGAUGAUGCUAUAGUCCAAUGCACUUAGUAAUAAGUGGGAACAUGCGUGAGACAGGUUGGUCUCCUAUCUGCUGCAGGCGUUGAUUUUUGAAAAGAUUUGCUCCUAGUACGAGAGGACCGGAGUGAACAGACCUCUGGUGUGGGAGUUGUCGUACCAACGGCAGCGCUCCGUAGCUAAGUCUGGAAUGGAUAACCUCUGAAAGCAUCUAAGAGGGAAACCAACUUUAAGAUUAGAAAUCGUUUGAGACUCAUGGGAGAAGACCAUGUCCGACGUAAGUCGGCUCUGUCGCAAGACAGGGGAUAGGCUCUAGGUGUAAGCAUAGUAAUAUGUUAAGCCGAGGAGUACUAAUUAGUCGAUUCCUAUUAGGAA